rnacentral:rRNA from 1 species
AUUGAACGCUGGCGGCAGGCUUAACACAUGCAAGUCGAGCGAGCGGCGGACGGGUGAGUAAUGUCUGGGAACCUGGCUGACGGAGGGGGCUAACUACUGGAAACGGUAGCUACUACCGCAUACCAUCAGAUGUGCCCAGAUGGGUUUAGCUAGUCGGUGGGGUAAUGGCUCACCUAGGCGACGAUCCCUAGCUGGCCUGAGAGGAUGACCGGCCACACUGGAACUGAGACACGGUCCAGACUCCUACGGGAGGCAGCAGUGGGGAAUAUUGCACAAUGGGCGCAAGCCUGAUGCAGCCAUGCCGCGUGUGUGAAGAAGGCCUUCGGGUUGUAAAGCACUUUCAGCGAGGAGGCGUUACUCGCAGAAGAAGCACCGGCUAACUCCGUGCCAGCAGCCGCGGUAAUUC